GGUUAAGCGACUAAGCGUACACGGUGGAUGCCCUGGCAGUCAGAGGCGAUGAAGGACGUGCUAAUCUGCGAUAAGCGUCGGUAAGGUGAUAUGAACCGUUAUAACCGGCGAUUUCCGAAUGGGGAAACCCAGUGUGAUUCGUCACACUAUCAUUAACUGAAUCCAUAGGUUAAUGAGGCGAACCGGGGGAACUGAAACAUCUAAGUACCCCGAGGAAAAGAAAUCAACCGAGAUUCCCCCAGUAGCGGCGAGCGAACGGGGAGCAGCCCAGAGCCUGAAUCAGUGUGUGUGUUAGUGGAAGCGUCUGGAAAGGCGCGCGAUACAGGGUGACAGCCCCGUACACAAAAAUGCACAUGCUGUGAGCUCGAUGAGUAGGGCGGGACACGUGGUAUCCUGUCUGAAUAUGGGGGGACCAUCCUCCAAGGCUAAAUACUCCUGACUGACCGAUAGUGAACCAGUACCGUGAGGGAAAGGCGAAAAGAACCCCGGCGAGGGGAGUGAAAAAGAACCUGAAACCGUGUACGUACAAGCAGUGGGAGCACGCUUAGGCGUGUGACUGCGUACCUUUUGUAUAAUGGGUCAGCGACUUAUAUUCUGUAGCAAGGUUAACCGAAUAGGGGAGCCGAAGGGAAACCGAGUCUUAACUGGGCGUUAAGUUGCAGGGUAUAGACCCGAAACCCGGUGAUCUAGCCAUGGGCAGGUUGAAGGUUGGGUAACACUAACUGGAGGACCGAACCGACUAAUGUUGAAAAAUUAGCGGAUGACUUGUGGCUGGGGGUGAAAGGCCAAUCAAACCGGGAGAUAGCUGGUUCUCCCCGAAAGCUAUUUAGGUAGCGCCUCGUGAAUUCAUCUCCGGGGGUAGAGCACUGUUUCGGCAAGGGGGUCAUCCCGACUUACCAACCCGAUGCAAACUGCGAAUACCGGAGAAUGUUAUCACGGGAGACACACGGCGGGUGCUAACGUCCGUCGUGAAGAGGGAAACAACCCAGACCGCCAGCUAAGGUCCCAAAGUCAUGGUUAAGUGGGAAACGAUGUGGGAAGGCCCAGACAGCCAGGAUGUUGGCUUAGAAGCAGCCAUCAUUUAAAGAAAGCGUAAUAGCUCACUGGUCGAGUCGGCCUGCGCGGAAGAUGUAACGGGGCUAAACCAUGCACCGAAGCUGCGGCAGCGACGCUUAUGCGUUGUUGGGUAGGGGAGCGUUCUGUAAGCCUGUGAAGGUGUACUGUGAGGUAUGCUGGAGGUAUCAGAAGUGCGAAUGCUGACAUAAGUAACGAUAAAGCGGGUGAAAAGCCCGCUCGCCGGAAGACCAAGGGUUCCUGUCCAACGUUAAUCGGGGCAGGGUGAGUCGACCCCUAAGGCGAGGCCGAAAGGCGUAGUCGAUGGGAAACAGGUUAAUAUUCCUGUACUUGGUGUUACUGCGAAGGGGGGACGGAGAAGGCUAUGUUGGCCGGGCGACGGUUGUCCCGGUUUAAGCGUGUAGGCUGGUUUUCCAGGCAAAUCCGGAAAAUCAAGGCCGAGGCGUGAUGACGAGGCACUACGGUGCUGAAGCAACAAAUGCCCUGCUUCCAGGAAAAGCCUCUAAGCAUCAGGUAACAUCAAAUCGUACCCCAAACCGACACAGGUGGUCAGGUAGAGAAUACCAAGGCGCUUGAGAGAACUCGGGUGAAGGAACUAGGCAAAAUGGUGCCGUAACUUCGGGAGAAGGCACGCUGAUACGUAGGUGAAGCGACUUGCUCGUGGAGCUGAAAUCAGUCGAAGAUACCAGCUGGCUGCAACUGUUUAUUAAAAACACAGCACUGUGCAAACACGAAAGUGGACGUAUACGGUGUGACGCCUGCCCGGUGCCGGAAGGUUAAUUGAUGGGGUUAGCGCAAGCGAAGCUCUUGAUCGAAGCCCCGGUAAACGGCGGCCGUAACUAUAACGGUCCUAAGGUAGCGAAAUUCCUUGUCGGGUAAGUUCCGACCUGCACGAAUGGCGUAAUGAUGGCCAGGCUGUCUCCACCCGAGACUCAGUGAAAUUGAACUCGCUGUGAAGAUGCAGUGUACCCGCGGCAAGACGGAAAGACCCCGUGAACCUUUACUAUAGCUUGACACUGAACAUUGAGCCUUGAUGUGUAGGAUAGGUGGGAGGCUUUGAAGUGUGGACGCCAGUCUGCAUGGAGCCGACCUUGAAAUACCACCCUUUAAUGUUUGAUGUUCUAACGUGGACCCGUGAUCCGGGUUGCGGACAGUGUCUGGUGGGUAGUUUGACUGGGGCGGUCUCCUCCUAAAGAGUAACGGAGGAGCACGAAGGUUGGCUAAUCCUGGUCGGACAUCAGGAGGUUAGUGCAAUGGCAUAAGCCAGCUUGACUGCGAGCGUGACGGCGCGAGCAGGUGCGAAAGCAGGUCAUAGUGAUCCGGUGGUUCUGAAUGGAAGGGCCAUCGCUCAACGGAUAAAAGGUACUCCGGGGAUAACAGGCUGAUACCGCCCAAGAGUUCAUAUCGACGGCGGUGUUUGGCACCUCGAUGUCGGCUCAUCACAUCCUGGGGCUGAAGUAGGUCCCAAGGGUAUGGCUGUUCGCCAUUUAAAGUGGUACGCGAGCUGGGUUUAGAACGUCGUGAGACAGUUCGGUCCCUAUCUGCCGUGGGCGCUGGAGAACUGAGGGGGGCUGCUCCUAGUACGAGAGGACCGGAGUGGACGCAUCACUGGUGUUCGGGUUGUCAUGCCAAUGGCACUGCCCGGUAGCUAAAUGCGGAAGAGAUAAGUGCUGAAAGCAUCUAAGCACGAAACUUGCCCCGAGAUGAGUUCUCCCUGACCCUUUAAGGGUCCUGAAGGAACGUUGAAGACGACGACGUUGAUAGGCCGGGUGUGUAAGCGCAGCGAUGCGUUGAGCUAACCGGUACUAAUGAACCGUGAGGCUUAACCUU
rnacentral:rRNA from 1 species